ACUCUGGGAGAAGAGCCCCAGCCCCAGAAUUCCCAGGAAUUUCCAUCUGGUGAUCAGCACUGAACACAGAGGACUCACCAUGGAGUUUGGGCUGAACUGGGUUUUCCUUGUUGCUAUUAUAAAAGGUGCCCAGUGUGAGGUGCAGCUGGUGGAGUCUGGGGGAGGCUUGGUACAGCCUGGGGGGUCCCUGAGACUGUCCUGUCCAGACUCUGGAUUCACCUUCAGUAACCACUACAUGAGCUGGGUCCGCCAGGCUCCAGGGAAGGGACUGGAGUGGAUUUCAUACAUUAGUGGUGAUAGUGGUUACACAAACUACGCAGACUCUGUGAAGGGCCGAUUCACCAUCUCCAGGGACAACGCCAAUAACUCACCGUAUCUGCAAAUGAACAGCUUGAGAGCUGAGGACACGGCUGUGUAUUACUGUGUGAAACACACAGCGAGGGGAAGUCAGUGA